AAAAUGCUAAAGCAGUUCAAUCUGGCUCACGCAGUCCUCUCAAAGCCACAGCACAUUCUUUACGCGCAGCUUCGAAAGAUUCGUGUCUCACUCGCUCUGGAGCUCUAAAUCCUAUCGAAAACGGUGUCCCGUGGCUUAGACGCCAGGAAUCCAGAAAUGUACGCCACUGCCACGACUGUUCACCGUAACCGGAGGCCGUACCCGCCACAGGACACCUCCAAGCACUACACCGAGGUGCCGCUAGCCACCGUGAGGCAGUGCAACGCGAUCCACCGCAUCAUCAAGCGUUUGGGUCGGGAGGUUGCGUUUGACGAAUAUGAGCCUGUAGAGAAAGUAGUAGUGGUGAUUAUUUUCCUGCUCAUUGUGACGCUGGCCAUCGGCGGACCCAUGUGCAUCAUUUGCUACGCGCUCUUGUAGAGGAACCAUCUCUUUGUUGUAUCUGUCGGCGCCCCUUCUUUCUUUGCUGCAGCCUUCCUUUACGCUUGGCUGUCUUCGCAUAAUCCACGCAUUUGGAUGUGCAGAUCUCUUUUACCGUCCUUUUCGUACCGAAGACUCAAAAGCGACCGCUGCUGUUUGUGUGUGUGUGUGGAGCAGGACGGGGGAGAGCCCCGCCCCCUCUUCUUUUCCCCCAGGGAGAGGCAGUGGCGCGUCACAAGAGCUGCCGUCGCGUGGGGGGGGGGACAAAAAAAAAGGGAGGGGAGACGAAGAGAAUGCAGUGGUCGCCGUGUUGUGUGGUAGUGAGGAGAGGUAUCGCACGCUUUCAUGGGCUCCCUGUGCACUCAUCGUGCCAAUCGGGUAGCAGAGCAAGAGGGUGGGGGAUGGCACGUAUGUGAACCUUUUUGGUGUUGGCACCCGCCUCCUCCGCACUCUGCUCAGGGCGCCACUUGCACCUUUUUUUCAUAGCAAUCAGGGUCACCGUUCCAAUUUACUUUCCAGGUGCACAUGAAAGGAAGGUGUGUGCUUGCCACUGUUUCCAUUUUGCUCAUCGCUCUCCAUUUUUAGAGUGAAUUUCAUGCGUGUUUUCUGCCUUCUCACCUGUCACUGCCGUCUCUGCCUUUCUUACUUCCUGGGUUCGCUUCGCUAUCCUGCGCGUUUUGUAUCGCUUUACAUGCACGUGUUGCCCGUCCCCCCUUUUUUGCCCUCAGUUUCAUUUUCGCACCUGUUAUCGAAUGAACGGAUUUCAAAAG
rnacentral:misc_RNA from 1 species